rnacentral:rRNA from 1 species
UACAGAGGGUGCGAGCGUUAAUCGGAAUUACUGGGCGUAAAGCGUGCGUAGGCGGCUAUGUAAGACAGAUGUGAAAUCCCCGGGCUUAACCUGGGAACUGCAUUUGUGACUGCAUCGCUGGAGUGCGGCAGAGGGGGGGGAUGGAAUCCGCGUGUAGCAGUGAAAUGCGUAGAUAUGCGGAGGAACACCGAUGGCGAAGGCAAUCCC